rfam:Pan troglodytes isolate Yerkes chimp pedigree #C0471 (Clint) chromosome 19, whole genome shotgun sequence.
GCCAGGUGUGGUGGUGCACACCUGUAAUCCCAGCUACUCGGGAGGCCGGGGCAGGAGAAUCGCUUGAGCCUGGGAGGUGGAGGUUGCAGUGAGCUGAGAUCGUGCCACUGCACUCCAGCCUGGGCGACAGAGCGAGACUCUGUCUCAA